rnacentral:rRNA from 1 species
AUGUAUCGCGACGAUGAUCUAGAUGAAACCUUUGCUUCGCAAAGCCAAUUUGAAGAAGGACAAAAUCAGUUUCUUGAUGUAGGUGGUGGAGACCCACAGUUUGAUGUCGAAAAUUUUCUGAACAACUUGCGAAAUUUGUUUUACUCAUCAAAUGACAAUGCCAAUUCUUCUAAAGAUCCCUGCCGUGCCCCACUUUCUCCAAAGAAGGCAACGAGCAGGUGUAAUCAUGGCUAUUUCAGUGAUCUGCUCAAGAAAAUUCCACCAUCAAGAUUAGAUGUUAUUAAAACUUAUGGUUGCUCUUUUAUUCUUGAUUUUGAGUGCAAUUCUGUACCAAGAGGUUUUGCACAAUGGAUAGCAGGGAAAGUAAAUCCACCUAUUGGUGACAUAGUUCUCGACAACAAAGUCAUUCCAAUGAGCCCUGAAUCUUUUCAUCUACUCCUUGGUCUUCCAUUAGGUGGCACCUCAGUUUUAUUUGACAGUGAGGUGACUAAAGUAGUUUUCCUCAAUAUUAUUGGUGAACCUACACUGCCUUCUAUCAAGUGGUUUGGGUUGAGAAUGCUCAAGCCUGACAUUUCUGAUAUUGAUUUUCUGAGAUGUUUUCUCCUAGUUGCCUUUGCAACUGUUUUGUGCCCCAACUCAAAUAUCUACCCCAACACAAAAUAUCUAGGAAUUCUUAUUGAUCCAACUCAAGUUACAAACUAUGGUUUAUCAAAGUUUGUUUUUGAUUGUCUUAUGUCAUACAUAAGGAAAUAUCAAAAAGAGCCAAAGAAAUCUGCAAAAGAGGAUGGUUUAACUACACUUGGUGGCUGCAUUUAUGGGCUUUGUUGCUAUUACUUAGAUUUUCUGGAUUUUGGGUUACGCCGAGUGCCUCCUGGAAUUCCAAGAGUAAAGGCAUGGAAAAAUUCUCUAGUGGAAGAGUUUGCAAACCUGGAUUGCAAAGGUCCAAGGGAAUAUGGCUUACGUCCUGUGAAGUAG